rnacentral:rRNA from 1 species
UACGGGGGGGGCAAGCGUUGUUCGGAAUUACUGGGCGUAGAGGGCUCGUAGGCGGCCAACUAAGUCGGAUGUGAAAUCCCCAGGCUUAACCUGGGAACUGCAUCCGAUACUGGAUGGCUUGAAUCCGGGAGAGGGAUGCAGAAUUCCAGGUGUAGCGGUGAAAUGCGUAGAUAUCUGGAGGAAUACCGGUGGCGAAGGCGGCAUCCUGGACCGGCAUUGACGCUGAGUGAGCGAAAGCCAGGGGAGCAAACGGG